AUCGCUUCUCGGCCUUUUGGCUAAGAUCAAGUGUAGUAUCUGUUCUUAUCAGUUUAAUAUCUGAUACGUCCUCUAUCCAAGGACAAUACAUUAAAUGGAUUUUUGGAGCUGGGAGAUGGAAUAGGGGCUUGCUCUGUCCACUUCAUGCAUCAACCUGGUACUGCAGUACUUCCAGGAAUGGUGCACCAAAA
rnacentral:snRNA from 1 species